AGGCUAUUUUUUCUGAAAGGAAAUUAUUGGCGGCAACGCUGGUUGGGGUUUUGGUCAUGGUGGCGAUUACCUGCAAUCGCUUGAUUUUUGCGUGCUUCUCCAAAUCGAUUCCGGGCUGCUAUAGAUAGGAUGAAUUCCACUGCCAUGAUUCACUGAGGACAAAGAAGAAAUUGUGUAAAGUUAUCCUAAUGUAACAACAUUAUCAAACUCUGAAUUGCCACAUAAAAUUACCUCCUUUUUUGCUGUUAUUAUCAGGAACACUAGGAGUACACAAAGAGAGAGUCAAAGGCACGGAGGGUGUUGCCGAUUGCAAUUCAUCUAAUGAAUUUGACAAAACAUGAGUUCUUUCUCUGCACUCUACAUCUGAUGGACAUGCUGCUGCUGGAGUUCUGUUCUCUGUUUUUCCAAAAAUGGCUUCUCUACUCGGAAAUUGGAAAUUACCCUUAUCUGAAGUUGGCUCAAUUGGUUGAGCCAUUGUAGUACUAUGAACCCCAAGAGCUAUAUUCCUUGAAAUAUGCGUAACGCUGUCUAGGUUCAUCCUUCCUGCUUUUACAAUACUAUUUUGUUGUAGAAGAUCGCGAGCUGAAAGUGAUUCUAAUUUCUUCCUCA